CUGAAUCCUUGUUGGGCUUUGGGACAUGCUGAACAUUUAUAUUUGUGUUAAAGUUUAUUGGGAAGAUUUAAAUUUAGUGCGAAAUGUUGGUGUUGGAUAUCUUUCUUAUGAGUCUGAGAAACCGAUGUAAAGUUUAUGAAGGAGGCCGAGCGAGGCCACAAGCCUGAUCAACGGACCACAAGGCCUGUGCGCAGGAUUUGGUGGCAUCUGGCGGAGAAAUUGCACGUUGCAACCAAAUGAACACCCCUCGCUUCAACCCUCCGAUUCAAAAUGUGUAGGAAAACUUACAGUGGCCUUCCGCCAAUAAUGUAAAAAAACCCACCAAGGGCCCUCUCUAGACCCAGUGAUUUGGUUUGUCCGUUCUGGGCUACUGUAUAAACAUGGAGGUGCAACAUGGCGCACUCAAUGGAAGAGGUGGAUCUACAGCAGGCGAGUCUGAUGUUGUGAAGCGCCUCUUCUCGACGUUAAGUGAAGAUUGUGCGAGGUUAUCCGGUUCAGGCGGGGCGCUCAACUCCAUGUCCAUCUCCCUUUUUGUCACAGCCGUCACCAUGACAACACAGAGAAGAAUGCCAGUAUCCAGUAUGAAUGAAGGAACGAAUGUGUGUUUGUGCGUGAUCCCAUCAAGCCGGGGCCCCUUUUUGUUGUUUGCGCCCUGGUCUGAUAACCUCGACGGGCGAACGUGACGGGGGCAAACGUGACGUGCAUAACCUAUAGACCGAAGUAGAAGGAGGGUGGAGAUGACAAGAUGGAGGGAGACGGAGGUUAACCGCGAUGCCACUCAAGACGCUUCCGACGUUAAUGAUGUCUGAGCCCCGAGCAGAUUCAACCAAGACGCACGAUAAUAAUACGAGAUCGGAUUUCCGAUAUCGAUACAUCGGCCGAUAUAUCUGACAAUGACUCCUAAGAUGUUGUCAUCACACCUUUGUGACAAAGAAAUGUAAUUGAGGCUUGUUAUUUUAAUUUUAGAGCCAGUGGCAAACAAGGAAAGACCUUGAUGAAUUGAGGAAGUGUGCGCGCAGACGUCCCCUCCCUCACAUUCAUGAGAGUGUGCGAAGGCCAGAAAGCCAUUACUGGAGCGAACAGACGCAGCCAGCGAUGGUUCAGAUUCCGUGUCUGAAAGGCUCCAGUCAAUCAGUCCACCAUAUCUCUUCUUUUUUUUAAGUGCAAAGUGCAUUAAGUACUAUUUCCUGCCUCACUGCUAAUGGCUCAGACUGAUUGAUCGAGUCAAACACACACACACACACACACACACACACACACACACACACACACACACUGCUGUCAAUCAAGCAGAUGGUAAUUCAAUAUUAUCAUACAUUAUAUGGUAUGUGCACUUUGCUGAUCAGGAAAAUAUAAACCCCUGAAUCAGGGUUUCACACAUUGACGACGUCCUUUAACUUUUAUUUAUCAUUUAAAAUAUAUUUAUUAUACUAUUCUGAUGUAAACAUUCAUCUCCAGGUAAUUGAUGGAUGAAUCUCUUCAUUAUUUUCUCAAUUUAACAACAAAAAUAGGUGUCGUCUUCAAAAGUUUUAGUUUUUUUUUUCAACAGUGCAAAACAUUCUAUCGAAAAAGAAAUGUAGAAAUUCAGCAAAUUGAGAUACGUUUCGAUGUGUUCGUGAAGCAGGAACCAGGUUCCUUUUUACCUAAAAAAAAGUUGCCAGUUUCAGUUUCUGAACUGAGACGAUUUUUGGCGUUCCUUAAGUUCUGUCCUCCACAUUUCUUCACACGACUCCUGCAACGACAUCGGACGCCCACUUUGUUUUGACGACCUGCACAUCUUCAAUUCUGUAGCGCAGCUUCCUGGAGAUGUUGUCCUGCGCUCUGGCGAGUUUGUCGGCAGCGGAACGAUUUACAAGGGAAGGAUAACUCUGAUGGCUGUAAUGAUGGGCGGCAAUAAAAAGAUGACGAUGGCAAUCAGAGCAGCUGAUUGAGAGGCCCAGAUGGAGAGAGAGAGAGAGAGAGAUGUUGUAGAGGGAAGAUAAUAAGAAAAGGGGAGAGAUGAAGAAACCAGGCAAUCAGAGAGGGAGACGAGGAGGAGAGGGUGGGGGGAGGUUACUGUGUAGAUUUAAUUGCAGUGCAGUUGGAGCAAUCUUUUCUCUGUGUGUGUGUGUGUGUGUGUGUGUGUGUGUGUGUGUGUGUGUGUGUGUGUGUGUGUGUGUGUGUGUGUGUGUGUGUGUGUGUGUGUGUGUGUGUGUGUGUGUGUGUGUG